CAUCUGAGGGCACGCAGGCGCAUUAAUCUCUGCUCGCCCGAUUCUGGUCCACACUUGCCUGCGGACGAGACACCCCGGUUUCUCCACCGUGGAGGCUGCUCUCGGGGUUCCUCUUAUCCCGCGCCUCAAGGAAGUUUUGUGGUGGUGGGUCAGAACUGAUUUUCCUUGUUGUGAAAUUUAAGAGACAGCUCCAGUCCCAGCUAAAGUCGUUCAGUUAGCAUGAUAGCCAGGGCAUGGUGAGCAUCAGAGAGACUUCGGGUCAGCAUUCCGGCGUUCCCCAGGGGCUUCACACCAUUGCAGGCCCGGACUCACAGGAAUCCUUUGGUUGCAAAGCGCUUUCAUGUCCCUUCUUUUGCGGUCCGUGUGUACAGCCAAGAGGAGACUUCGGGCUAGGGAGCCCACAGCGUUCCCGGCUGCUGUUGCAGUUGCAGGAAGAGUGACGCGAGGGGAGGGUGCUCUCCUGCACUGCGGACUAAUGGCCUUUUUGGCAGCUACACAGUAGUCCAGAAGAUGGGCACAUCCGGCUCUCAACAUUUCAUAACAUCGUCUUUUGAGUUACACCGACAAAAUGGAGUGUCUGGGCUAGCAAAGCCAAGAGCUGGAGGCCCUGGCCUGGAAUGACCUCAUCAAGACCCUGCUGCCCUGGGACACUCUCUCUGAGCAAUCGGUCAGCACCCCCUUCCUGUUGGUCUCUUGCUUUUACAAUUGUUUUAUGAUUUCUGAUUCUGGGAAUGUAAUCUUUCCUCUUGUCACUUCCAGCUUGAGGUUGGAACUCUUCUCUAGGUCUCAGUGCCAGGAAAGAGGUAGGCAGUAUAAGAGCACCCUGUUCACACAUUCCAGCUCCAGUUGUUCCCAUCUUGGUUGGAUUUGUGAAUUUCUGCAGGUUUCCAACCUCUAAGUCACUUUAACUUUUUUUCCCUUCCAUCUGAGAGACCCUGAGGUACAGUAGUUGACAGUACUAGACUAGUCCUAACUCUAAUUAAGGGGUAGCAUAAAUUGGGCACGGUGGCUCACGCCUGUCAUCCCAGCACUUUGGGAGGGUGAGGUGGAAGGAUUGCUUGAGCGCAGGAGUUCAAGACCAGACUAGACAGUAUAGUGAGACUUCGUCUCUGUUGGGGGAGCUAGCAUAGCUUAGAAAUGAAGCCUGUAGCCCCCGAAAGUAGGCUGCUUAAGAUUUGAAUCCCAACUCAUCCACUUACUAACUGGGUGACCCUGGGGGAUCAACAUGUCUCCAUGCCUCAGUUUCCUCAUUUGUAAAAUGACUGUAAAAUGAUUUCUCAUUUGUAAAAGGAUUGUUAUGACGAUUAAAUGAAUGAAUAUUUGUAAAGCAAUAGUGCCUGGCACUUACUAAGGCCUACUGAAGUUUUACUUAAAUAAUACAGUAGAUGGGAAUAUAACAUAAUGAAAUCAACUCCUUAAAAAUGAGCACCCUGGAACAUAAACAUCCAAAUGAGUAUUGUGUUUCAAAUCAGGCAUUCCACUUUCUCCAAACAGCUGCCCAAAAUAUUUUUGGAAUUCUUAUUUGGAGACUAUUUUCAGGGCUAAUUUAUAAGCCAUAUGAGUACAUCCACCUCAAUAUUUAUAAUCACAUUCUAUUUUGAAAUAACUUUUGACUGCUUUUAAAGCCACCUUCAAAGAGAAAAAUGUCACCACUGAGUCUUUUAAGAUGCAAAAAUGUCAAUGACAAUGCCAGAAAUGUUUUAUAAGUAACAUUCCAGCAAAAGAAAAACAAUUUUUUUUUUGGUAGGAGUGUGUAGACUUCAAAGGGCAAACCUACAAGGGACAACAGUAAUUUAGAAGCUUCAGAUUGUCUGCUUAAACCAUCAACCCCAUGGUUUCCUGGUUAUACUUCCUGGUUAUACCUUGUAUAUCUGGGAGCUGCCAGCCCCCACAGGGGCACAGUGUUGAGCAGCUGCAGUAGCAGCCAUAUGCCACUGGACCAGCAGGCUCUGGUCCUGGAAGUCUUGUUCAAAAUUCAGAAUCUUGAUCCACAACUCAGAAUUACCCAGUGAAAGUCUUCAUUUUUAACAAAGUCCUCUCCAAGUGAUUCAUCUGCAUAGGAAAGUUUGAGAAGUGCUGCUCCAGCCUAAAGCUCUAAUGGAAUCCUUCAUUGUUCAUCUUUAUGAGUACUUGGGUUACUAGAAGGGACCUGCCUAAAUCUACUGAGCCUCAUCAAUCGGGGUGUCAUUGAGGUUUUCAAAGUUAGGAGAUGGUGAUCUGGGAGGGGGUCAUCAAAGGGCCCAUGUUUAGGGCCGUCUAGGGAGGAGGCAGCACAUCUGGAUUUCCACUAGAAGGCGCUGUGCCCCAGGAAGUAGUUGUGAAAAGCUGAGGCUGGAAAAGACUCAUUUAAUUUGCAACAUACCACUUCUAACUUAACUGAGCCUGUUCCACAGGGAUUCUCUGGAUAUUCAGGAUUCAAAUUUCAUCCAUCUACUUAUCCAUCCAUCCAUCCAUCCAUCCACCCACUUAUUCAUCAUUCAUUCAUUCAUUCAUUCUUCCCAUAAACUAGCAUCUUUUAGUUCUUAAGUCAUGGGGUGCUGCAAAGCUGUAUAAGAUACUUCUUAUCCAGAGUAGUUUAUUUUUGAGCUGAGUUUGUCAACUGAGAUUUGCCCCUCAUCCAAAGUCAAGUGACUAGCACAGACUGUUCAAGAUGCAUUAGUUGGUCUCUUGUUUUUAGGUACUUCUCUCCAUAUCCACAAAAAGAAACUGUGGGGAGACAUUGUACAGGACUUCAUUGCUGUCAAGAGACCUGAAACUAAUUCCUGAGUCAGGAAGAAUGCAGGAGCUGCCUUGCAGAAGCAAAAGUCUAAAUCAAUGGCUUCCAAACAUUUUAGAACUGAUAAACUAGGACAAACUUUUCACCAUUGAAUGAAAAAAUGAGGUCAAUGUGGUAAGCUUUUGAAAUGCUAAAUACAUUUAAUUCAAAGGACUGUCCUCUAGGUUGAGACAAUGCCCUUCUCAUUUUUGAGGUAUUAAAGUGACUUUUAUAAAACUAUGGAGAAAGUAGGUGUUUGUUUGUUUGUUUUUUAGACGGAGUCUUGCUCUUGGCUCACUGCAACCUCUGCCUCCCAGGUUCAAACAAUUCUCCUGCCUCAGCCUCCCGAGUAGCUGGGAUU